rnacentral:rRNA from 1 species
AAUAGAUACCCGGUAGUCCAUGCCGUAAACCGUUGGGCGCUAGAUGUAGGGGACCAUUCCACGGGUUUCCGUGUCGCAGCUAACGCAUUAAGCGCCCCGCCUGGGGAGUACGGCCGCAAGGCUAAAACUCAAAGGAAUUGACGGGGGCCCGCACAAGCGGCGGAGCAUGCGGAUUGAUUCGAUGCAACGCGAAGAACCUUACCAAGGCUUGACAUAUACGAGAACGCUCUAGAAAUAGAGAACUCUUUGGACACUCGUAUACAGGUGGUGCAUGGUUGUCGUCAGCUCGUGUCGUGAGAUGUUGGGUUAAGUCCCGCAACGAGCGCAACCCUCGUUCUAUGUUGCCAGCGGCUCGGCCGGGAACUCAUAGGAGACUGCCGGGGUCAACUCGGAGGAAGGUGGGGAUGACGUCAAAUCAUCAUGCCCCUUAUGUCUUGGGCUUCACGCAUGCUACAAUGGCCGGUACAAAGGGCUGCAAUACCGUAAGGUGGAGCGAAUCCCAAAGAGCCGGUCUCAGUUCGGA